UGGGGAAUUUUGCACAAUGGGGGAAACCCUGAUGCAGCGACGCCGCGUGAUUUAGAAGGCCUUCGGGUUGUAAAAAUCUUUUCUAUGGGAAGAAAAUGACAGUACCAUAGGAAUAAGGACCGGCUAAUUACGUGCCAGCAGCCGCGGUAAUACGUAAGGUCCGAGCGUUGUCCGGAAUCAUUGGGCGUAAAGGGUACGUAGGCGGGUAAGCAAGUUAGAAGUGAAAUCCUGUAGCUCAACUACAGUAAGCUUUUAAAACUGCUCAUCUUGAGAUAUGAAAGGGAAAGUGGAAUUCCUAGUGUAGCGGUGAAAUGCGCAGAUAUUAGGAGGAAUACCGGUGGCGAAGGCGACUUUCUGGCCAUAAUCUGACGCUGAGGUACGAAAGCGUGGGUAGCAAACAGG
rnacentral:rRNA from 1 species